rnacentral:tRNA from 1 species
AGUUCAAUGGUAGAACCCCAGCCUUCCAAGCUGAUGACGCGGGUUCGAUUCCCGUC